rfam:Lupinus angustifolius cultivar Tanjil chromosome LG12, whole genome shotgun sequence.
GUUGAGAGGAAUGUUGUCUGGCUCGAGGGUUAUGUAAGGGUGUUAGUUUGUUACUAAUCUCAAUUCUUUCAAUGAAAGUUUCUAUGGUUAGUACAAUCUAACUCAAAAUUAGUCUCGGACCAGGCUUCAUUCCCCCCAGC